rfam:Citrus clementina cultivar Clemenules unplaced genomic scaffold scaffold_9, whole genome shotgun sequence.
GUCUCUUCGGAGACAUCCGAUAAAAUUGGAACGAUACCGAGAAGAUUAGCAUGGCCCUGUGCAAGGAUGACAUGCACAAAUUGAGGAAUACAACUUUAUC